GUGGCCACCAACCUGAAGAUCCUUUCCCUAGGGUGGAUAUGGUGUUGAAGCAGCUGGGACAGAUCCGGGAGUAUGAUAGGCGCCUGAAAGGACUGGAGCAGGAGGUCCAGCACUGUAGCCGUGUCCUGGACUGGGUGGCCGAGGCCCUGAGCCGCUCUGCCAUGCUGCCACCGGGCGGACCACCGCCCCCUUCCCGGCCUGGGUCGAAAGAGACGGCUUCUCUCUUCCCUGCAGACUGAGUGCUGCUGGUGGUCUUCAAGGAGUGGCCCCGAGGAUCCUGCUCCUAGACCAAGGCCCAAGUGGCCCCACCUGUGUGCCCAACGGCCUUGUCUCUGACCUGGGCCCCCCCAGGCCCCUGGACCCCAGUGGUGACACCUUGGGGAGUGUCGCCCUUGCCAACCACUGCAGGCCCAGAUCCUCUCAGCACCAGCCUGGCUCUGGGGGGGUGAGGCUGUGCAACCCGAUCUGCUGGCCCCAUGGGGCACACAGGCGGGUCCUUGGGGCCAUGGGGACCACUGACCCUAUCCCCAGCUUCCCCACACUGGGGAAAUAAAGCCUUUGAGAUAAGUAG
rnacentral:lncRNA from 1 species